rnacentral:lncRNA from 1 species
UCGUCAAGUCAAGCAAUAGGUUAUAUUUCCAUUCACCACUUCCUCAAUUAUCCGAAAAACCACAAUCCAAAGCAAACUAUAGCAGAAGAAAUCAGUCACCUUUUUUUUAUCAAUGAUGGUAGCAUACCUAAGAGACGUACGUCCCUAAAAAACAGUUUGGAGGGUCCAAGUCAAAGUUUGGAGACUCUUGAAUGUAUUUUCGCUGAUGAUAAAGUUAAUAUCACCUACUUCCUAUUUUGUUUAUCGCUAAUAUUUGUUGUCUCUUAUGUUUCAAGGUGUUAAAAUGGAACAGUCGUUACAAGCACUCACCCUGUCUCAGACUCAAACUACUUAACCUUGAGUAAGUUUCAAAACAUUCAGUGUGGUGAUCUAAAUAAACAAAAAUGAUAUGCAAGACUUCAAGUAAAUACCUCUUCUGAGAUACUCGAGAGGAGUGAAUGCCAGAUUGAUACUGUAAUUCAUUCGUCUCUACUAUUUUUCAUCAGAUCAAAGCAC